rnacentral:rRNA from 1 species
UACGUAGGGGGCAAGCGUUGUCCGGAAUCAUUGGGCGUAAAGAGCGUGUAGGCGGCCCGAUAAGUCCGCUGUGAAAGUCCAGGGCUCAACCCUGGAAUGCCGGUGGAUACUGUCGGGCUCGAAUCCGGAAGAGGUGAGUGGAAUUCCUGGUGUAGCGGUGAAAUGCGCAGAUAUCAGGAGGAACACCAAUGGCGAAGGCAGCUCACUGGGACGGUAUUGACGCUGAGACGCGAAAGCGUGGGGAUCAAACAGG